UGAGGAAUAUUGGGCAAUGCCCGAAAGGGUGACCCAGCAACGCCGCGUGGAGGAUGAAGGUCGUAAGAUUGUAAACUCCUGUUAGAGGGGAAGAAUAACUAAGUUUGGAGCUUAGUAUGUCUGUACCCUCAGAGAAAGCCCCGGCUAACUACGUGCCAGCAGCCGCGGUAAUACGUAGGGGGCAAGCGUUGUCCGGAUUUACUGGGUGUAAAGGGCGCGCAGGCGGAAUGGAAAGUCAGUGGUGAAAUCCUACAGCUUAACUGUAGAACUGCCUUUGAUACUUUCAUUCUUGAGUUCGGGAGAGAGAGACGGAAUUCCAGGUGUAGUGGUGAAAUACGUAGAUAUCUGGAAGAACACCAGUUGCGAAGGCGGUCUCUUGGUCCGAUACUGACGCUGAGGCGCGAAAGCGUGGGGAGCAAACA
rnacentral:rRNA from 1 species